rnacentral:rRNA from 1 species
GACGAACGCUGGCGGCGUGCUUAACACAUGCCAGUCGAACGGAAAGGCCCUGCUUUUGUGGGGUGCUCGAGUGGCGAACGGGUGAGUAACACGUGAGUAACCUGCCCUUGACUUUGGGAUAACUUCAGGAAACUGGGGCUAAUACCGGAUAGGAGCUCCUGCUGCAUGGUGGGGGUUGGAAAGUUUCGGCGGUUGGGGAUGGACUCGCGGCUUAUCAGCUUGUUGGUGGGGUAGUGGCUUACCAAGGCUUUGACGGGUAGCCGGCCUGAGAGGGUGACCGGCCACAGUGGGACUGAGAUACGGACCAGACUCCUACGGGAGGCAGCAGUGGGGAAUAUUGCACAAUGGGCGGAAGCCUGAUGCAGCAACGCCGCGUGCGGGAUGACGGCCUUCGGGUUGUAAACCGCUUUCGCCUGUGACGAAGCGUGAGUGACGGUAAUGGGUAAAGAAGCACCGGCUAACUAC